UACUCUCACCGCGGGAGCUUUGUGAUGUGGGUAAUGGCUGAGAAAUUAAAAGAGUCGGAAGAUUCUUUGUUGACCGUUCGAACCUGAACAUGGUAAUGCAUGCGAAAGGGAAGGUGAGAUGUGUCAUGG
rnacentral:ncRNA from 1 species